UACAGAGGGUGCGAGCGUUAAUCGGAAUUACUGGGCGUAAAGCGCGCGUAGGCGGCUUUGCAAGUCGGGUGUGAAAUCCCCAGGCUUAACCUGGGAACUGCAUUCGAGACUGCAUUGCUAGAGUAUGGGAGAGGGAAGUGGAAUUUCCGGUGUAGCGGUGAAAUGCGUAGAGAUGUGGAGGAACACCAAUGGCGAAGGCAGCCCCCUGGGUUGACACUGACGCUCAGGCACGAAAGCGUGGGGAGCAAACAGG
rnacentral:rRNA from 1 species